GGUAUUUUGACCGUGCUAAGGUAGCAUAAUCAAUUGUUUUUUAAUUGAAAACUAGUAUGAACGGUUUAAUUUACUUAAUUAGUUUGUAAUUUUUAAUAGUAAGUUAAAUAUAAAGUAAGAAUUCUUUAAUAAAUUAGGGGACGAUAAGACCCUAAAAGCUUUAUGAUUGGCAUUUAAUUGGUGAUAGCGGUGUUAUUAAUUCACUGGGGCAGUGAGUUUAGGUAUAUUUAAGUAUAAUUAAAAGCUCCUUUAAAUAAAGAUUUCAUGUAUAAGUUACUUUAGGGAUAACAGUGCAAUAUAUU
rnacentral:rRNA from 1 species